CUACCUCUGCAAGGGGAAAAAAGCAAGCAGAAUUGUUGGAACAAAGACCAGCAGUAGAGGAGGAAAAGCAAAUAAGGGUCUUUACUGCAGACCCAGAGCAGCAAGAAGAGAUACAUGGCUGAGAGAGGAAGAAGUUUAUAAACUUCUUCCAGUCCAGAGGCGUUUAGGGUAAGUGAUGUUUUACAUAAUGACUUCAAACUCAUUUACAUCUUUAUAAAUUCAGCCAGAAAUGGUGGUAGGAGCUGUACAAGCUCUGUGCUGGGUUUAGGUUGCCCAAGAGCUAAAGCUCACGCUGGAUACAUUUACCUCUGUUUCUAAUUAAGGUGCCUCGUGUUGAUCCCCUCAAAGUUGAGUCCUCUCUGCAUCUGGACCUAAGCUGCUUUGUCAGAAGCAAAGCACUGCACCUGCUUAUUAGAAGUGAAGACUGCAUGUUUCCUUCCCAAUAUCAACACAAGAAACCAAGCAACAGAGCUCUCACCCUCCGAGAUGCUCGAGUCGUGGAACAUGGUUUCAAAGGCCUGGUGGGUCUCAGCAAAGGAAGGUCUGUCAGGUGGGUUCCACUUCCAACCUGCAGUGUGAGAGCACAGAGUAAGUCUCAAUGCCUGUAGCAGCUAAAGAGUGGCCAAGUGGCAGUGGGUACCUGUCAACUGGCCAGAUUUCCAGACUGAAAUGUCACUACAGAGGAAUGUGAAGCACUCCCAUGUGUGCUAGCUGGGCUUGGCUUAACAGCUUUGCUCCUGAAAGCAGCCAAAGUCCAGACGGAACCAAACACUAGUGAAGGUUUAAUGUGUCCCCUUAAGAAUCUUUGUACAUGUAGAAUUAACAGCUAUGCAGGCUAUGUAUUAGUGAUCAUGGUAUCAUGCACGUGCCGGUGAGAUAAACAGGGCACAGCCAAGCUGAAAAGCUUGCAGCUUUCUUCCACUCGUGCUGUUUGAUCUGACUUGCGUCUCCACUGCCUUGAUCUCAUGUACUUAUUUGGUGAUAACACGAUGGUCCCUUGCAGCAGUAGUGAUCUGGCUGUCUUCUGCUCAGUUACAGAUUGAUUGCUUCUACUCACUGCAGCUUUUUCUAUAAAUGUCUCUGAGUUGAGAAUUACAAAGAACAGUAUUUGUUGUAUUUCCAUCGUAUUUUUUUUAACUUUGAGUUUUCUCAUUCUGGUCUAUCAGAAAAAUAACUAAUGGAAAGUAAUUUUAUAAAUCUUAGUUAACUAAGUAGAAAAAAAAAUCUAACUUCACUGAUACCUGAAUCCUGGAGAAUGGCUAAACGCAAGGGUACAAUCUGACAGGAGACCGAUACUGCGAACUUUAUAUAAUGCACAGUCAUGCAUCAGCAGCAAAGCUGCCUACUAAUCUAGGUGACCAUAUUUGAUGAUAAAUUUAAAAUUGGUGUCUCAAUACUGCACAAAGGAGUAAGCUAUCAAAAAUAUCACCUCAUAACCUGACCUCAUCCAAAAAGUUAUAUAAAUACAAAAAAUCUGCCCAUCCUUUUAAAGAAGAGGGAUUUCAUUUUGGCAAAAGUUUGAGUAAGAAUAGAAAGACCAAGGUAUUUCACUAACCUAGUAACUGCACUAGAUUUGGGUGCUUGAUUUCCUUCAUCACAGCAGCUUCUUUCAAGAACUCUUCCACCUCCAUGGUAUCUUCCUAGAUGAACAGAGAAGGGACGGUUAAUCUUCAUGACCGAGGUCUGCUUAACACUACAUAUUUUAACUGAAUAUAAAUAAUUCUUGUCUCUGUUUUGCUGUUUUACCUUUUGCCAAAGCAAAAAAGGGUCUAUAACAGCCCUGAAAAGCUGGCCUGCAGCAUGGCCAAGUAACAGAUCUGCAGUACCCAGAAAGUGUUAGGCUCUACCAAGCAGGUAGCCACUGGGACUACCAAAGCAGCUGUGGCUAGUGAGGGGAUGGGAUGACUCUGAGUCACCGAAUUAGUUCACCUGUCUAGCUAUGAAGAUUAAGCUUGCAAUCUCCCUUACUUAGGGGGUACCUGGAAGGUUAACAUUCAACAAAGGUGAUGUUCAAACAAACAGAAGACU